rnacentral:rRNA from 1 species
AAGGGAUAGGACCUGGUAGUCCUGCUAUAAACAAUGAAUAUUAAAUAUUAAAUUUUAUAGAUAAAUAUUUAUUGAAAUUUAUUUUUAUAAAAUAUUUUAAUAUUUUGAGAAAAAUUUAAUAUUAAAAGUUAACACGUUAAAUAUUCCGCCUGGGGAGUAAAACCGCAAGGUUGAAACUCAAAGGAUUUGACGGGAGCUUAUACUUACGGUGGAGCAUGUGGUUUAAUCCGAUAGUCCGCGUGGAAUCUUACCAAUUUUUGACAAUUUAUAGUUUUAUAAAUAAUACAGGUGUUGCAUGGCCGUCGUUAGCUUAUGUUGUGAAAUUUAUGAUAUAAGUAUAACCCUUAUUUUAAUUUGCUAAUAUUUAAAAGUUAAAAUAAAUUUUUUAUUUUAUAGUAAAUAUGCACUAUUAAAAAAAAUAUGUAAAAAUAUUUUUAAAGGAUGAAGAUAGGUCGUUAUGACCCUUAUAAAUUGGGCUACACUUGUGCUACAGCAA